rnacentral:rRNA from 1 species
UACGGGGGGUGCGAGCGUUAAUCGGAAUAACUGGGCGUAAAGGGCACGCAGGCGGACUUUUAAGUGAGGUGUGAAAUCCCCGGGCUUAACCUGGGAAUUGCAUUUCAUACUGGGCGUCUAGAGUACUUUAGGGAGGGGUAGAAUUCCACGUGUAGCGGUGAAAUGCGUAGAGAUGUUGAGGAAUACCGAAGGCGAAGGCAGCCCCUUGGGACUGUACUGACGCUCAUGUGGUAAAGCGUGGGGAGCAAACAGG